rnacentral:misc_RNA from 1 species
GUUUGAUCAUAGUGUUGUACUAGAAACAAAGUUUUCUGAGGAUGGGUUCUAUUCAUCUUUACAGCUCCUCUCUGUCUUGCUAUAGUUUACGAGGCUACACUGGUCUGCAUUGUUUGUAUCCAUUUACCUUACAAGGGUGCAUAAUUGACAUGGUAUCAAGUAAUCCAGCUAGGAAGUUGAGAUUUAGAUUCAGAGGUGUUGAUAGACUUAGAGCCUCACUGAUGUCUGGAGAAGGUGAUCUUCUGUCUUGUUCCGAAAACAAUAAAGUUUCAGCACAAGAUACCUUAUUAGGCAAAGGAUUGAACCAACAAUCUGGCAUUGAGUUACAACCUGAUGCAAUA